rnacentral:lncRNA from 1 species
ACGUUUCCUACUAGCCUGUAAACUGAAUAUAGGCUAAAAAGGUAGAACUAUUAAUAAAUUUAGACCUUAAUAUGUAGACAUUUACUUUUCUGUUACUAUGUAUAAUGUGUAUAUAUAUAUAUAAAAUACAGGCUGCUAAGUGUAUUGUCCACUAUGAGGACCAAACUGCACUCCAGCCGGGGCAACAGACAGAGACGCCAUCUCAAAAAAAAAAAAAAAAAAGGAAAGUAAGUAAUCAAACAAGAAAGGUAUGUGGGACACACAGCAGACAAAAGAUUAGUAACCAGAGUACAUAGAGAGCUCUUACACUCCUACAGUCAAUGAGAAAAAGAUUUAAAAUCCAAUGGAAAACGAGCAUCAAUUUUCAAACUAUCAGAAAGACCAAAAUUAAAAGUUUAACAAUGCCAGCUGUUGGUAAGAAUAUAAAUUGUCAUAACUACAUUGGAGAAUAGUU